UACGGGGGGGGCAAGCGUUGUUCGGAAUUACUGGGCGUAAAGGGCGCGUAGGCGGUGCUCUAAGUCGGAUGUGAAAACUCUGGGCUCAACCCAGAGCCUGCAUCCGAAACUGGAGUGCUAGAGUUCUGGAGGGGGUAGCGGAAUUCCUGGUGUAGCGGUGAAAUGCGCAGAUAUCAGGAGGAACACCGGUGGCGAAGGCGGCUUGCUGGGCCUUACCUGACGCUGAGGAGCGAAAGCGUGGGGAGCGAACAGG
rnacentral:rRNA from 1 species